rnacentral:rRNA from 1 species
CCCAGCUUGUCAUACUAGAGCACUUUUUCAAUGGGCUCCCCAACGUCAAGGCGACAACGCAUUUGUAUGUCAUCUUUAUCAACUUUCGAUGCCAUUUACUGCGCUUACCAUGGUGACCACGGGUAAUGGGGAAUCAGGGUUCGAUUCCGGAGAGGGAGCCUGAGAAACGGCUACCACAUGCAAGGAAGGCAGUAGGUGCGUAAAUGACCCACUCCCGACGCUGGAAGGUAGUGACG